GUGGGGAAUCUUAGACAAUGGGGGCAACCCUGAUCUAGCCAUGCCGCGUGAGUGAUGAAGGCCUUAGGGUCGUAAAGCUCUUUCGCUGGGGAAGAUAAUGACGGUACCCAGUAAAGAAACCCCGGCUAACUCCGUGCCAGCAGCCGCGGUAAUACGGAGGGGGUUAGCGUUGUUCGGAAUUACUGGGCGUAAAGCGCGCGUAGGCGGAUUGGAAAGUUGGGGGUGAAAUCCCGGGGCUCAACCCUGGAAUGGCCUUCAAAACUCCCAGUCUUGAGGUCGAGAGAGGUGAGUGGAAUUCCGAGUGUAGAGGUGAAAUUCGUAGAUAUUCGGAGGAACACCAGUGGCGAAGGCGGCUCACUGGCUCGAUACUGACGCUGAGGUGAGAAAGCGUGGGGAGCAAACAGGAUUAGAAACCCGUGUAGUCC
rnacentral:rRNA from 1 species